UACGAAGGGGGCUAGCGUUGUUCGGAAUUACUGGGCGUAAAGCGUGCGCAGGCGGUUAUGCAAGACAGAUGUGAAAUCCCCGGGCUUAACCUGGGAACCGCAUUUGUGACUGCAUAGCUGGAGUACGGCAGAGGGGGAUGGAAUUCCGCGUGUAGCAGUGAAAUGCGUAGAUAUGCGGAGGAACACCGAUGGCGAAGGCAGUCCCCUGGGCCUGUACUGACGCUCAUGCACGAAAGCGUGGGGAGCAAACAGG
rnacentral:rRNA from 1 species